rnacentral:rRNA from 1 species
AGUGAACGCUGGCGGUAGGCCUAACACAUGCAAGUCGAACGGCAGCACAGUAAGAGCUUGCUCUUACGGGUGGCGAGUGGCGGACGGGUGAGGAAUACAUCGGAAUCUACUUUUUCGUGGGGGAUAACGUAGGGAAACUUACGCUAAUACCGCAUACGACCUACGGGUGAAAGCAGGGGAUCUUCGGACCUUGCGCGAUUGAAUGAGCCGGUGUCGGGUUAGCUAGUUGGCGGGGUAAAGGCCCACCAAGGCGACGAUCCGUAGCUGGUCUGAGAGGAUGAUCAGCCACACUGGAACUGAGACACGGUCCAGACUCCUACGGGAGGCAGCAGUGGGGAAUAUUGGACAAUGGGCGCAAGCCUGAUCCAGCCAUACCGCGUGGGUGAAGAAGGCCUUCGGGUUGUAAAGCCCUUUUGUUGGGAAAGAAAAGCAGCAGGUUAAUACCCCGCUGUUCUGACGGUACCCAAAGAAUAAGCACCGGCUAACUUCGUG